GAAAACCCCCUUCAACAUCCCAACAACAGAUCUAUAUUCUACAGUCAUACAUCCUAUGAAUCCGAAAACCAAAUAUCGAACACGAAAUCAAACUAUAGAUUUACAGAGGUGCAAGGUUGCGGGAAGAAAAAGAAGAAUUAUGCAUGCAUUUAGUUGUAUCAAAGUAACUCGAAAUCAGCAAUAGUAGCAAGGGGUUUUACCAGAUCGAGGUAUCUUGGGGAGGAACGAAC
rnacentral:lncRNA from 1 species